CCUGUUACAAAAGAGACACCCACCUGGAAGAGCUGCCAUCACUCACUGAGUGACUGAUGAGAACAGAUCCAGCUGGGACUUUACUUAGAGAGAAAGCCACAUAAAGUCACAAAGCAUCCGAGUGCCCUUCUGUACAGCAGCCUUUGUAGUUGCUCCUCUCCUGCUGCUUUUCCCAAUGGCCUGCCUCAUCUUCACAGAAAUCUCUCUUGCCUCACUUGUCUGGAGCAUGUUGCCCUCCAGCACUUGUACUGAGCAGAAGUCACUCUGCAAGCCACGGCUGGGUGUUGGCUAUCUGAAGGGUACGUGCAUAGCCUUUAUGCCAUGGCUCCAGAUCUACAUGGGAAAAUCAGGGCUGCAAAUCUUUGAAGCCCUGAGGGUCUUGCCAUCCUUGCUCACUUCAUAAAUAUACUUGAUGAUGAAGUAUCAUAAAAGAAAGCCUGACUUUUCCUACAGGAAAUUUUUUUUAUUCCUCUAACUGCAUUUCAGAACACAGGUAUGUUGAACAUGGAGCUUUUCCACACAUGGCUACAAGACUUGACCAAGAAACAUCAAAGCACAUAGUUAUGGCACUUUUCAGUCUAAGUUUGGUAACAGCUACUGUCAUGAGAUACCUUAAAAAAAUCCAGGACUAAGCUCUUCUGAACUUUCAUCAAUGGCCUUCUAACAGCUUUGCUUGGUACUCUUGCAACUUGACUUUGUUUCUUAAAAGCAAAUAAGAUUUCAUCAGAUUGUAUUAAUAUAAAAAAUUUAGUAAAAAAGAAAGAGGUGACUGCUGUUUUUACAUAUUACUCAAAUGAAAACAAUAACCACAUAUACCUCUUGUAGCAGCUACUUUUCUCAGCAAUAUAUUUGGCCACUUUGGUAGUAAACGGAACACUAGAGUCAUUUAAAAGUUUCAAGUCUUCAAGUUUAAUCAGAAUCUAUGAUUUUCCGGAAGUGGCCUAGGAACAAAAAAAUCAAAUAACAACAAAACAACAAACAAAUAAUCAAACAAACAAACAAACAAAAACAAUGUACUCAGUCAGCUUUGAAGGGAAAAAUAGGAAGAUCAAGAACUGACUGAAGAAAUCAAGAUCAGUAACUGCCAAGUUUAACUUAACUCCCUUGUGGCACACCCAGCAAUAACUGCAGAUUUGACUGCAGUGAAGAAGUGGAACAAAACGUCUGGCUCUCCAGGGAAAGAUGGAAGGUAUCUAAAACAUCUUCUCAUAGUUCAUACAUUUCAGCAUUUGACACAAAACUGGUAUGUACAUA